GGCCGGCGUUGCUGCUGAGGCAGCCAGGCCGAGGGAACAGCAGGCAGAGGCAGGGCGCUCCGGGAGCGCGUCGUGAUGUGAAGUUAGCUGGUGUGCUCUGCCUGCUGGAUCCUGCUUUAAUAUUGCGGUUACAAGGAAAAUAAUGUUGGAAACAAGCUAGCAAGUACCCAAACUGAAUAAAAACACAGCCUGGAAGAAUCUUAAGAGCAGAACUUCUGCGUACGUCAGGGUUGCUGGAGGGGUGUCUCCACUCCUGAAUUCUUCUCCGACUGAAGCUGAGGGACGGUGUGUAAUUUAUCUGGGAAUAACAGUCGCCACCCGUCUAGCUGAUCUUAGCAUCCUGUAGCACCAAGUCUGCCUUUCACCAGCUGAGGGGUGCCAGAACAAGCUUAGAGGAAACGAGUAUGAUACAUGGUUAAAUCGCAUCGUUUCGAGCAGCACCUGCAGAAAUAAUCACUGAGCGUGUGCCCAAAAGCAGGCUGGCAGAAAACCUGCAGAGAAUUUCCACUCCCAAGCAGUGACCAACCCCAGAUGAAAUCUGCAAAGUGCGUUCUGCAUUCUCCUGUGAGAGCUACUGUACGUACAGCCACAUAAAACCAGCAGUCCAUAUUUUGUUAGGCAGGCACUGGUGUGAUCUCUCACUGCUGUAUAAGUCCCCAUCAUUCCGCAAAUGGGAAGGUAGCUCUGUAUGAUCUGUCUUUUGUUAUGCCACGACCUCCUUCAGUAUUGAAUCCAAGCAGAAGUGAUUCAUUUGUUCUUUAUUGUGGUUAAGCCCCUUCUAGGGUUGUGCUGUGGUAUUAGAAAAUAUAUAGAUAUGGAUAUAUGGAUGUGUAAUGCCACUGUUUGGGCAGGAAGGAGAUGGAUGCAGACUGGUAAGCAAGAGGCUGGUGUUCUCUAGCAGGUGUUUGCUGCAACACCAAGAUUCAGAUUCCUCUGGGAAGCUCUGUGGCUUUUUUAAAGGGAGUUUAGCAAAACCUACUUUCACCUUCCAGCCUGUAUUGGGUGGCUAAGCCACUAAACACCUCCUGUUGGUCCCCAGGAGCCAAAAUCUGGAUCCUGAUGGCAGUGCUUUGUGGUCCAGUAAUAGAGAAAUGAGUCUGCUGAUGAGUGGAAAGCAGUUAUCACAGAAUGUUAGGGAAAGAAAAGAAAAAAAGGACCUGUGCAUGCAGUACUAUCCUCAUCGCUUUAAUUGUUAAAAGAAGUCCCAAGGAUGUGGUCCAGCCAUCAGCUCUCAGAAGCAGUGCUCCGACUGAAGUUACGUAGCUGAUGACUGUAUUGAAAAUGUUUCUUUGCCAGAUCUUAAUUGUGUUAGGUUAUUUGGGUUUGACUUGGCUUUGCAAGAAACAUGACAAAUGAAUCGUACCUGCUUGAAGGGGCUGUCUCACAGCCAGGAUUGCCAUUUUUUGGUAACUUCAUUAUUGCAGAAGCUAGUCCGAAAGCCAAAGCACGCUGACCUACAGCAUACGAAACAUUAAUAGGCUAUUUGAUUCGUGUACUUGAGAUAAGCUAUGAGAUAAACACAAAGUGAGUAUUAUGUUUUAUUUGGGUGAAUGCUUAUGUUUAUGCAUGCAGCCACAUCUGUUCUCUUCUGGAGGGAAUCAAAACCAUCCAUCUGUUUAUUUUAAUAGCUUCCAGUCUGUGUAUCUGGAUUCUCUUUUAUGUUGGAUUUCAGGGCCUGUUUUUGUAAGCCAAGUGAUUCAAAGAAUGAGAUCCGAAAAGCCCUGGAAUUCCAAGAGCUACAAUAUGCUAUAUAUUUAUGUGCCAUCGUUUCAAAAUUAAGUCAGAUAUGAUGAAAACAAUAUGUUGAUUUGAAUGAUAGAGGACAUUUAAGAAAGGAAUGCUGAGAACUGUAUGAAAGUACUGCCUGGCGUAGCAAAUACUGUCUGUUGUGUGACAGAAGAGAUGCUGCACAGCCUGCACCCCUCUCCCUAUCCACUUGACAGCUGCCUCCAGAGCACCGUCUCUGUUCCUGAAUACACGUGGAUACAUUUCUUUAAGUAAUAAUGCCGUAUUUCCACUCCUGUGUAGACUACAGUCUGAAAGUUGGCACGAGUUCAUUAAAUUCGUGAAUUUUAUCAAAGGAAAAAUCACAGAAGAAAAGUAAAGCACAGGGAUCACUGAGACACAGCUGGUUAAAAAGAAUGACCUCUUAAAAAUUUCUAGAUAAAGCAUCCACCAGAUGCAUGUCAGAUUCACCAUCUCUACAAGGUUCGGCUACUGGUUUGAUUGGAGAUCCGUCGCUGCUCCUGAGAACACAGGUAUGCAAGGUGGCUGAGCCAUAAGGGUGCUCUUCACCUCCACCUCCUUGUUUGAGCUCAGCAGCCCUGUUUUGCUUUCACAUCUGCUGCUGAUGCUGAGUUAGUGCCCCCCAGCACAUUAUCGGCAGCUGUUGUGGUAGGUAAGGUGAUUCCUUUUUAGAGUCAACGCUGGUUUUGGAGGUAAAUCCUGAACACUCACACUGCAGAUCCUGUUAUACAUGUCUGCAUACAGCCAUCCUGAACUACUGUACCUGUCCUCUGAAUUCAGUCACCAUUCCUCAAAGACUUUAUUAUGGAUGUAAAAACCUUGCUCAGGUUAGAGCCAAGGUCUUUGGCAGAUUAUCUCUCUGUCCAAUCUCACUAAGAGAGAACAUUGAGGUUGUAUGUGUGGAUUGUCCUGGUAGCCUUUCUGACUCACGCUCUGCUAAAAGCCAUACACAGAGACAGCCUCCCUAAAAAUAUUCCUCAGGGGACUGCUGCUGCUUGUGAAUUGACUGUUUAGAUCAUAUUUUUUCUGGAACUACUUACCUCCAUCAAAGUGUACAGAUCAGACAUUUUCACUCUUGAUCAAGUGGCUUAAGAACCUGUAAGAAAUCAGAGGACUUGGCAGAAACAGCUCUUUUAGUGAAAGCAAAGCAUAAAGCUAUUAAGUAGGGCAAGAGAAUUCCCCCCAGGUUCUGCUGAAGGUCUCGUGGGUUAAAGGCCAGCUUACAAAGCAGGGUCAUCUGUGCAGUCUUGCAUUUACUUUUCCUCCCUGGUGCAAUAUCAGUUUGUAAGUUACCCACGCUAUUUGAGCCACAGCAGUUUUGCUUUCAGAAAUCCGAUCAGUGCUCCUUAACGAGUGCAAGGAAAAUAAACUCCCACAAGUUCAGCUUCUCCUACUCACUGUAUGAGUCUCUUAUCCAAUUUAUUCAGUUAAUCCCCUGCAGAAACUCAUUGCCACUGCAAAAGCUUGGGUGGAAGCUUUGAGGUUUCAUGAAUUCGAACUGUGACUGUUGCCACUGCAUACCAAAUUCCAAUAUAAAUUGGUUUUGAUUACAGUACUUAGAAAAAUUAUUAUAGUGAUCAGGUUUAUUUUUACUAAAAUUAACAGUGUAGUUUGUAAAGCCCUGUGCAGGGCUUCUCUUGUAGGGCACACAUUCAUCUGAUGACUUAAGCCUGUAGUUCUACCAGUGGUAAAUCUGUUUUUUUUGGCACACCGUACCUGAUCAAAAGCUCUGAUGACGCGUGGAACAAAGCUUUGAACUAGUGCAAAAUCUGUUUGGUUCGAGUCUGUUUUAAAAACGUUGUAUAAUAACUUUCUCAGCAGAUUUUAUGACACACCAGGCAUCAUUUCUCUCUACAGAGCUGGCAGAAAGCCAACACAAACCACAAAGGCUGCACAGACACCUGAGCGUAAGCUUUGGCUAGUCUGAAAAAUGUGUGAUUGGUUUGUUCUGCCUCAUUCCACCAGAGGAAUCAUUUGCCAGAUUACCUAGUCCUUCAUCUAUCUGACAUUAAAAUCCAACUGGAGCCUCCACAACAAGGUGAAGUUGUCUGAACAGAGGAAGAGUAGCUGGAACUUGAUUAAAGGCCAUUCAAGGCCGAGUUUCUUAAGCAAAAUCUGGUUUGGGAGGCUCUGCAACACACACGUCGAGGUGCCCACAGGGUGACUCAGAAGGCUGGAACAACUUCUGCUCCCAUUUGCUCCUACUGUAUCUGCCUGCCUUGGGUGCUUCUGCAAUUCAGUUUGCAAUUUUUCAACCUGGACGCCCUGAAAUCAAAACCCUCAAGGAUUAAUGGACCGCUCUAGGAGAAUUAGACCUUAAUCUGUCUGUUUUGAUCUCCCUGUCUGUUAUACUGGCAAUAUAAAUGCUGCGACCAGCUUAAUGGUUGUAACAGAAAGCUGUUCACAACUGCAGCUUCCCACACAUUUAAUACAGGAAAGCCUCGCGUGCUUCCAGUGGGAGUGGAUACACAACUUCCAUACAACAGCCAGCUCAAGAUCCUUACAGUGUGAUACUCAAAUUCAAAAAAUGAGGGAACAGG